rnacentral:rRNA from 1 species
UCAGACGAUGCGUCAUGCAUAUCAAUAAGCGGAGGAAAAGAAACUAACAAGGAUUCCCUCAGUAACGGCGAGUGAAGCGGGAAGAGCUCAAAUUUGAAAUCUUGAAAGGUCACCUUUCACGAAUUGUAGUUUAAAGAAGUGUUUUCUGUUACGAUCGUAAUAUAAGUUCUUUGGAAUAGGACAUCACAGAGGGUGAGAAUCCCGUCUAUGAUUGCGAUUUGUAGCUUUGUGAUACACUUUCAAAGAGUCGGGUUGUUUGGGAAUGCAGCCCAAAACGGGAGGUAAAUUUCUUCUAAGGCUAAAUAUUGGCGAGAGACCGAUAGCGAACAAGUACCGUGAGGGAAAGAUGAAAAGAACUUUGAAAAGAGAGUUAAAUAGUACGUGAAAUUGUCAAAAGGGAAGCGUUUAACACCAGUGUUGUUUUCUGAAAAUCAACCUCUGUUAGCUUUAUGCAUGUUUGUUUAGACCUAAUCAGCUAUCUUGCAUGUUCUAUUGUUUGCAGUGGUGCACUUUUCAGUUUACAGGUCAACAUCAGUUUUUUUUACCGUAAAAAAGUUAAAGAAAGGUAGCUCAUGGCUCCGGUCGUGAGUGUUAUAGUCUUUUUCCUAUGCGGUAGGAGAGACUGAGGUCUGCAGUGUAGGCUAUUUGGCUAGAUACUCAGGUGCUAUGUGAUACCAUUUCAUAAACAACUUGUUGAUUAUGUUUUGUCUAUUGCAUACUCGCUUGUACUAUCAUACCUACGCUUAGGAUGUUGACUGAUAUGUAGUCGUA